GACGAACGCUGGCGGCGUGCUUAACACAUGCAAGUCGAACGGAAAGGCCCCCUUGUGGGGUACUCGAGUGGCGAACGGGGGAGGAACACGACAGUAACCUACCCUUCACUUUGGGAUAACUUCAGGAAACAGGGGCUAAUACCGGAUAGGAGCUCCUGCUGCAUGGUGGGGGUUGGAAAGAUUCGGCGGUUGGGGAUGGACUCGCGGCUUAUCAGCUUGUUGGUGGGGUAGUGGCUCACCAAGGCUUUGACGGGUAGCCGGCCUGAGAGGGUGACCGGCCACAUUGGGACUGAGAUACGGCCCAGACUCCUACGGGAGGCAGCAGUGGGGAAUAUUGCACAAUGGGCGGAAGCCUGAUGCAGCAACGCCGCGUGCGGGAUGACGGCCUUCGGGUUGUAAACCGCUUUCGCCUGUGACGAAGCGUGAGUGACGGUAAUGGGUAAAGAAGCACCGGCUAACUACGUG
rnacentral:rRNA from 1 species